rnacentral:rRNA from 1 species
GAUGAACGCUGGCGGCGUGCCUAAUACAUGCAAGUCGAGCGAACAGACGAGGAGCUUGCUCCUCUGACGUUAGCGGCGGACGGGUGAGUAACACGUGGAUAACCUACCUAUAAGACUGGGAUAACUUCGGGAAACCGGAGCUAAUACCGGAUAACAUGUUGAACCGCAUGGUUCAACAGUGAAAGACGGUCUUGCUGGCACUUAUAGAUGGAUCCGCGCCGCAUUAGCUAGUUGGUAAGGUAACGGCUUACCAAGGCAACGAUGCGUAGCCGACCUGAGAGGGGGAUCGGCCACACUGGAACUGGGACACGGUCCAGACUCCUACGGGAGGCAGCAGUAGGGAAUCUUCCGCAAUGGGCGAAAGCCUGACGGAGCAACGCCGCGUGAGUGAAGAAGGUCUUCGGAUCGUAAAACUCUGUUAUUAGUGAAGAACAAAUGUGUAAGUAACUAUGCACGUCUUGACGGUACCUAAUCAGAAAGCCCCGGCUAACUACGUG